GGCUGGUCUGAGUGCAGUGGUGUUUACAACUAAUUGGUCACAACCACUUACAAAUUCCUUUGUUCCUUUCCACUCCCACUGCUUCACUUGACCAGCCUUAA
rnacentral:Y_RNA from 1 species